rnacentral:rRNA from 1 species
GACGAACGCUGGCGGCGUGCUUAACACAUGCAAGUCGAACGGAAAGGCCCUGCUUUUGUGGGGUGCUCGAGUGGCGAACGGGUGAGUAACACGUGAGUAACCUGCCCUUGACUUUGGGAUAACUUCAGGAAACUGGGGCUAAUACCGGAUAGGAGCCCCUGCUGCAUGGUGGGGGUUGGAAAGUUUCGGCGGUUGGGGAUGGACUCGCGGCUUAUCAGCUUGUUGGUGGGGUAGUGGCUUACCAAGGCUUUGACGGGUAGCCGGCCUGAGAGGGUGACCGGCCACAUUGGGACUGAGAUACGGCCCAGACUCCUACGGGAGGCAGCAGUGGGGAAUAUUGCACAAUGGGCGGAAGCCUGAUGCAGCAACGCCGCGUGCGGGAUGACGGCCUUCGGGUUGUAUACCGCUUUCGCCUGUGACGAAGCGUGAGUGACGGUAAUGGGUAAAGAAGCACCGGCUAACUACGUG